rnacentral:sRNA from 1 species
AGCUUGAUGACUAUAAUGGGCCCAAUUGUCUGCGGGCUGCGGGGAGCUGAGUCCCCAGAUUGGAGGAGGCUGGCUCUGGUCUUGGAUGCACAGGAGUGGCCGUUAUGGAACGCAGCAGCAGCGUGCAGGGUCAAAGACAGCCGGCCCCCCAUGUCAGUGGUCUAGGAUGGCCAGUGAAGGCACCAACAUCCCAAGUCCUGUGGUGCGCCAGAUUGACAAGCAGUUUCUGAUUUGCAGUAUAUGCCUGGAACGGUACAAGAAUCCCAAGGUUCUCCCCUGUCUGCACACUUUCUGCGAGAGGUGCCUGCAGAACUACAUUCCUGCCCACAGUUUAACCCUCUCCUGCCCAGUGUGCCGCCAGACCUCCAUCCUGCCCGAGAAAGGGGUGGCCGCGCUCCAAAACAAUUUCUUCAUCACAAACCUGAUGGACGUGCUGCAGCGAACUCCAGGCAGCAACGUUGAGGAGUCUUCCAUCCUGGAGACAGUCACUGCUGUGGCUGCGGGAAAGCCUCUCUCUUGCCCAAACCACGAUGGGAAUGUCCUCCAGUCGCAGCUGGAUACUCUGCUCCAGGGGCAGGAGAGCAUUAAGAGCUGCAGCAACUUCACAGCGCAGGCCCUCAACCAUGGCACGGAGACCGAGGUCCUACUGGUGAAGAAGCAGAUGAGCGAGAAGCUGAACGAGCUGGCCGACCAGGACUUCCCCUUGCACCCGCGGGAGAACGACCAGCUGGAUUUCAUCGUGGAAACCGAGGGGCUGAAGAAGUCCAUCCACAACCUCGGGACGAUCUUAACCACCAACGCCGUUGCCUCAGAGACGGUGGCCACGGGCGAGGGGCUGCGGCAGACUAUCAUCGGGCAGCCCAUGUCCGUCACCAUCACCACCAAGGACAAAGACGGUGAGCUGUGCAA